rnacentral:rRNA from 1 species
GUCUAUGGCCAUACCACCCUGAAUGUGCCUGAUAUUGUCUGAUCUUGGAAGCUAAUCAGGGUCAGGCCUGGUUAGUACUUGGAUAGGAGAACAAAUACCCAAUC